AACGUCGAUGCGAUACGUGCAGGAAUAGCCCAGGUCAACAUAGUCGAGCACAGAAGAUGUUUACGUCUGCUGGUGUCUUGUAGGAUGUCUCAGGAAUGAGACUGAAUCAGCUAUGUUACUAUGACUGAUUAUGAGAGGGCUUUCUUAUCUGGCUGAGAGGUUGGCUUCAUGUCUUACAUCCUCAAAAAGAGCCACAAACACAGGGUGACAUGCUAACAGACAGCAAGUUUGGUCAGUCUCGAGGGCACCUCUGACAAAUCACCCUUCCUCAUUCAGUGUGGUUCCUAUAUAAGCAGCACUUUUAAAAACUCUUUUAGGAAUUAAAACACUUACGAUAAAUCCAUAUUUCCAAUAUUUUUCAUAUACUGACAUUAAUGAUGAAUUGCCUGUAAACUCUAUGAAGGGGACGGGCAUUUCUGAAACCUGUUCAGUACAUAAAGCAUAAUACAAAGCUGAGUGGUCAAUAAGAGACAUACAAACAAUGUUCCCACAUGAACCUAUAAUAAACAAAUAAUGUUUACCAUGGA